CUACACUCUAUAUAGGAGUCGUGAUUACCGAGCUUUUCUUAUUUAUUUAUUCAUUUUUGCCCUUGAACCCUUUACUGUAAAAAAAGCACUGCUCCUAAAAAGAAAGUGGAGCGAAAAUAGAAUUAGUUAGUUAGUAUAGUUUCGAGUAGCGGGCUUUUUUUUUUAUUGUUUACUUUUUUUGUGCCUUUGAGCUGUCUCCUUUGUUUUAAAAAAAAAAAAAAAAAAAAAAAUAGUGAACAGGUUUUCUUUCAUGUACGAGGAAGCAAUAGGGAAUAAUGUUUAGUUUCCUUAUAUGUAAAAGAAUUUAGAUGACAUUUUGAACAGCAUAAGGUAUAGUUAAUUGUUGUCCCCUUCAUAUAUACAGAAAAGCAAUAGGAUAUAAAGCUUAGUAAAUUUACGUAGAAGAGCUGAUAUGUCAUUUUGUACAGCAUAAGGUAUAGUUAACCCAGUAGCAGCAGGGAUUAUGUUUCUUAAUGGUCCCUCUAAGCGAGAAAAAUGAGAAAAAUCAUCAAUCACACAAACCGUUUCAAAAUAUAUAUCAAAGCAUUUGUGAUCAGUUUAUGCAUCAUCUAUUUUAGGGGGUUUAUAUCAUGGCACAAAUUUGGCCCGUCGCUGCUACACGGUAAAGCCACAAAUUUGGCCCGUCGCUGCUACACGGUAAAGCCACAAAUUUGGCCCGUCGCUGCUACCAGGUUAAGUGAUCUUCCCUGAUAUAUAGAAAAGCAAUAGUGGAUAUGGUUUCUUAUGUGUAGAAGA